GCACCUCAACUAUAAAUACAGAACAAAAAGUGAAACCACCCACAGGGCAACAAGCAACUCUCUCUGUCAGGCGAAUUCGUGAACAACACUUGCUCACAAUUUCAAAACCCUAAAAACCCUCGAAUCACUACACCACUGAUUUCUUUCUAUAGUAAUCGAAUCUAAAACCUCUAGUUUCAUCUCUCAAUUCAAUGUUCUCUAACCCUUUUUGUACCUAAAUUUUAUUAUUUAAUUUGAUUUUUUUGAGAUUGUUUUGGUUGUGAAAUUCAAAGAUGGACAUCGAACACAGACAAGCAGAGCACAUCGAUUACUUCGUCAAGCAAGCUUCGAUCCAGAAGGGCGUCUCUGUCGCAAACGUCGUCGUUGAAGCCACUUCGCACCCUUCUCUCUUCGCUUUCUCGGAGAUUCUCUCCGUUCCAAACGUUCUCGAGCUCCAAGGAACUGAGCACUCUGUAUACCUUGAUCUGCUUCGUUUGUUUGCCCAUGGCACGUGGAGUGACUACAAGAGUAAUGCUAGUCAUCUUCUGCAGUUGGUGCCUGAUCAAAUUCUGAAGCUUAAGCAACUUACUGUGCUCACACUGGCCGAGACAGACAAGAUUUUGCCCUAUGAUGUACUGAUGCAGGAGUUAGAUAUUACAAAUGUACGUGAACUUGAAGAUUUUCUUAUCAAUGAGUGCAUGUAUGUGGGCAUAGUCAGAGGGAAGUUAGAUCAGUUGCGAAGAUGCUUUGAGGUUCAAUUUGCAGCAGGCAGGGAUCUGAGACCUGGGCAACUGGGGAGUAUGAUACAAACAUUAUCAAACUGGUUGACUACAUCAGAUAAUCUUCUUAUCACAAUUCAAGAGAAGAUAAAAUGGGCGGAUACCAUGAGUGAGUUGGACAAGAAGCACAGAAAGGAAGUGGAAGAGAGGGUUGAUGAAAUAAAGAAGUCACUCUCCUUGAAGGUCAGAAGUUACACACUGUAAGCAGGCCGACAUUGACUUCCGAGGGCAUGAGGAAAUCUUCUCUGAACCUGGUGGAGUGAUGGACUAUGAGGAAGAGCGAAGCCGCCCCAAGAGGAGGCGGCAUCCAUUAGCUUGAACAGAUAGAAUUCGACCCAAUAGGAAGCCGUUUUUUGUUCAUGGCAUUCCAACGACAACAAAUGAUUGCUGGUUUUUGAUAUUGACGACUCUUUGGAUAAUUUUUUUCCCUGCAAUUUUUAGACUCGAAUAUUUGACAGUUCGUUUGUAUUGGAACGUCAUUAUUAUUAGUUUGAGUUAGCAAAGAUCAGAUUGGAUUUGGAAGUGCAGCUGAGAAAGUUAUGGACCUAGAAUGUUAUUUAUAAAAAAAAAAAAGGUGGGGGAAGAAAAAGUUUUGGUGCUAAUAAGCAAAUGAUAGUUUUGAGUCAUUGUGCUUCAUGUUGAUGCACAUUAUUCUACCUUGUUCAGCUGUGGUAAUUACUAUUUCAAUGGAUGCAUAUUCUUUUAUUUUACAGGAAGAUUGGGAUUGCCACAAAAUUUGAUGGGUCCUAUCUAUCUUGCUUCAUAUU